CGGAGUUGAAGAUUAGUAGGAAUACAAGUGGUAGAAGACCUGAUAGCGGUAACAAAACUAAUGACUCUUUGUCUUAUUCUUUUAUCUUUCAACAGUCUAUGCUCCUGCUCUACCUAUUACUGUAACUGCAGGAUCUGGAUAUGCACUUGACUAUUAAUUGCAGGAUAUCCCUAUUAAUACUAAUCAUAAGAGAUAGGUUGCUAAGGCGCAGAGUCAAAUAAAUACUUAAAGUAAGGAAAGCUAGACCACU
rnacentral:lncRNA from 1 species